UCCUGCUGGGAGCAGGGACAUUCUGAGCCCCAACCCAGGGCACGGCUACACGUCAGGGGUUAGGGCAGGCUCUCGGCCUGGAGGAUGCAGCUUUUUUGUUUGUUUUGUUUUUGUUUUUGUUUUUUUGCGGUACGCGGGCCUCUCACUGUGGUGGCCUCUCCCAUUGUGGAGCACAGGCUCCGGACGCACAGGCUCAGCGGCCAUGGCUCACGGGCCCAGCUACUCCGCGGCAUGUGGGAUCUUCCCAGACCGGGGCACGAACCUGUGUCCCCUGCAUCGGCAGGCAGACUCUCAACCACUGCGCCACCAGGGAAGCCCAAGGAUGCAGCUUUUGAGAAGGUAAUUCCCGUGAACUAAAUUAAUUCUUUAUUGAGUCAAUUCAUAAAUUCACUAAUUUGUUUUAACAAAACGUAUUGACCGCUUGCAGGGCUGGUACUGGUGCUGCACUAGACUCUGGAGGGCACGGCCUGUCAAUGCCAGUCCCGCCCAGGGAGCAGCCUGGGGCAGAGAGGAGCUGAGCCCUGCUGUCCACACAGGGGUCUUGGAAGCACUGGACUAGCUGCCAGUAAGUCUCGGCUGUUUCUGGAACAACCUCCCAAGAGUCGGCCCGGUUCUGCAGGAACCAGAGGAGCCCCGACGUGCAUAGAGCAAUGGCACACCCUGCCCUUCCCGUCCAGCUGUCCAAGGAGUUCCUUAGAAGAAUGUCCAUUGGAAGUGCCAUGCUGCCCCACGGCUGACGCACCUGCGGGCCUGCAUGAAGCGCUUCACCAGUGCCAUUUUGCUCUGCAGCUGCGCCAGCCUGGCCUCCUGGUCCAGUGGGCUCCUGGCCUUGGCCUUGGACAGGCACUUGUAGGCCUCAGUCAGUGCCCCGUGGGCCUUGUCGUAGUUCUGGUACUCGUCGAUCUCUACCUGCAGGAGGAGGCGUCAGGACCCAUGGGUCCUCCACCCACCCGGGGCCCCUGGAAGUGGGGGGUCGGUACCUGGGCACAGGCAUCGUAGAAGCCGGCCAGGAGGUCCAGGGACCGGCCCUUGGUGUAGAAGCUGAUGAUGCUCUUCAUGAUCUCCGGGUCCUUCCGCCAGUCCAGGGACUGCAGGUAGUUGGCUGCCAUGAUGUAGAUCUCCUUUUGCCUCGAGACGCCCGCAAAGAACACAAUUUUCUCAGUGUCCCCAGACUUGAGCAGUGCUCUCAUGGCCUGGACAGAGAAAGAGCCGGGCUGGCCCCUUCCUGGCAAGGUGGACAGAGCUCCCGCCCGACGCUGCAGGUGUGUCUUCAGGACAAGCGAGCUCUGGGCUGCAAAGUCUUGGCAGGCGCCCUCGGAACCCUGCCCAGAAGCUCAUCCCACAGGGCACCCAUGCGCCGGGCCGCACUCACCUUCAGCCUGUCCCCUGCCUGCGUGUACUUCUUGGUGGCCAGGUGGUAGUUGCCCUGGCGCAUGCAGCAGCUGGCAAUCUGCUCCAGCAGCUCACGCCGGGACUCUUCAGACAGCUCCUUGCAGUCCUUGGACACCGUCAUCUUUUCAGCCAUCUCCUCAGUGAUGGUCAAGUUCUGCUCCAGGCAGAGCUGCAGGGCUUCGUGAUACUGGGAAGGGCCA